rnacentral:rRNA from 1 species
GAGCGGGAAGAGCUCAAAUUUGAAAUCUGGCAGUCUUCGAUUGUCCGAGUUGUAAUCUAUAGAGGCGUUUUCCGUGCCGGACCGUGUCCAAGUCUCCUGGAAAGGAGUAUCAAAGAGGGUGAUAAUCCCGUACUUAACACGACCACCGGUGCUCUGUGAUACGUCUUCUACGAGUCGAGUUGUUUGGGAAUGCAGCUCAAAAUGGGUGGUGAAUUCCAUCUAAAGCUAAAUAUUGGCGAGAGACCGAUAGCGAACAAGUACCGUGAGGGAAAGAUGAAAAGCACUUUGGAAAGAGAGUUAAACAGUACGUGAAAUUGUUGAAAGGGAAACGAUUGAAGUCAGUCGUGUUCUUUGGAUUCAGCCAGUUCUGCUGGUCUACUUCCUUGGAACGGGUCAACAUCAGUUUUGUCCGGUGGAUAAAGGUAGUAGGAAUGUGACUUCUCCGGAAGUGUUAUAGCCUAUUAUCACAUACACUGGGUGAGACUGAGGACUGCAGCUCGCCUUUAUGGCCGGCCUUCGGGCACGUUCGAGCUUAGGAUGUUGACAUAAUGGCUUUAAACGACCCGUCUU